rnacentral:snoRNA from 1 species
ACGCUCCAGAUUGCUUCCUCAUCAGAUCUCAACCCUUGGUGGGUGGUUAUAAAAGGGGCAAAAGUAAAAUUGAAACCGGUUUCAGCUCUUGUGUGACACAGAGCUGGUCUGCAAUAAAA